rnacentral:rRNA from 1 species
GAUGAACGCUGGCGGCGUGCCUAAUACAUGCAAGUCGAGCGAACAGAUGAGGAGCUUGCUCCUCUGACGUUAGCGGCGGACGGGUGAGUAACACGUGGAUAACCUACCUAUAAGACUGGGAUAACUUCGGGAAACCGGAGCUAAUACCGGAUAAUAUAUUGAACCGCAUGGUUCAAUAGUGAAAGACGGUUUUGCUGUCACUUAUAGAUGGAUCCGCGCCGCAUUAGCUAGUUGGUAAGGUAACGGCUUACCAAGGCAACGAUGCGUAGCCGACCUGAGAGGGUGAUCGGCCACACUAGAACUGCGACACGGUCCAGACUCCUACGGGAGGCAGCAGUAGGGAAUCUUCCGCAAUGGGCGAAAGCCUGACGGAGCAACGCCGCGUGAGUGAUGAAGGUCUUCGGAUCGUAAAACUCUGUUAUUAGGGAAGAACAAAUGUGUAAGUAACUAUGCACGUCUUGACGGUACCUAAUCAGAAAGCCACGGCUAACUACGUG